rnacentral:rRNA from 1 species
AUUGAACGCUGGCGGCAUGCCUUACACAUGCAAGUCGAACGGCAGCACGGGAGCAAUCCUGGUGGCGAGUGGCGAACGGGUGAGUAAUAUAUCGGAACGUGCCCAGUCGUGGGGAUAACGUAGCGAAAGCUACGCUAAUACCGCAUACGAUCUAUGGAUGAAAGCGGGGGAUCGCAAGACCUCGCGCGAUUGGAGCGGCCGAUAUCAGAUUAGGUAGUUGGUGAGGUAAAGGCUCACCAAGCCGACGAUCUGUAGCUGGUCUGAGAGGACGACCAGCCACACUGGGACUGAGACACGGCCCAGACUCCUACGAGAGGCAGCAGUGGGGAAUUUUGGACAAUGGGCGCAAGCCUGA